UACGGAGGGUGCAAGCGUUAUCCGGAUUCACUGGGUUUAAAGGGUGCGUAGGUGGGUUUGUAAGUCAGUGGUGAAAUCUCCAAGCUUAACUUGGAAACUGCCGUUGAUACUAUAAAUCUUGAAUGUUGUGGAGGUGAGCGGAAUAUGUCAUGUAGCGGUGAAAUGCUUAGAUAUGACAUAGAACACCAAUUGCGAAGGCAGCUCACUACACAAAGAUUGACACUGAGGCACGAAAGCGUGGGGAGCAAACAGG
rnacentral:rRNA from 1 species